rnacentral:pre_miRNA from 1 species
UUCAGUGGAACGACAAGGAGAAAGUGGACGGAAGUGCAGCUGGUUUGUACUUGAGAGGAACCUUUGACAAUGGUCGGAGGUUCCACUCAAGUAUAAACCAACUGCACUUCCCUCCACUUUCUCCUUGUCGCUCCACUGAAUU